rnacentral:lncRNA from 1 species
AUGGAAGAGUUGUUGACCUUCUUCCUCCUCAUCCUCACUUCCCCCUCCCCCGCUGCCACCGCGGCCCCUCCCCCGCCCCUCGCCGCCAUUUUGGGUCGUUUUUCCCCAUUUUCGUUCGGUUUUUUCCGUUCUUUUUCAAUUUUUUCUGUCAUUCCUCCCUUUUUUAGAUUUUCCUUUUUUUUGUCAUUUCCCCACUCUUGCUUCAUUUUCCCUCAUUUUGACCUCCCAUUUUUCACCAAUUUUUCCUCAUUUUUUGUCAGUUUUUCCUCAUUUUUGCUGGUUUUUUCCAAUUUUUUAAUCUUUUUUCCCAUUUUUGGCCACUCUCAUCCAAAUUUCCUUCAUUUUUCUCAAUUUUUGAUUCCAUUUUCCCAACUUUUGGUCGAUUUUUCCCAAUUUUUGCUCAGCCAUUUUCUGUUCAUUUUUUUUCCCAUUUUUCAUCCGUUUUCCCUCAUUUUUGGUUCAUUUUUUUUCCCAUUUUUUGUCCAUUUUUUUCCAACUUUUGUCAAUUUUCCCCCAAUUUUUGUCAAUUUUUCCCCAUUUUUGGUUCAUUUUUUCCCAAUUUUCUUCCAUUUUUCCUCAUUUUUUGUUCAUUUUGUUCCAUUUUUUCUCCAUUUCCCCAAUUUUUCUCCAAUUUUCCUCAUUUUUGGUUCAUUUUUUCUCAUUUUUUUAUCCAUUUUCCCCAAUUUUUGGGUAAUUUUUCCACAAUUUUUCUCAAUUUUCCUAAUUUUAUUUUUUUCCAUUCCCCCUAUUUUUAUUAAUAUUUUUUUCUCCAUUUUCCCUAAUUUUUGUCCAUUUUUCCCUAUUUUUAUUAAUUUUUUUCUCCAUUUUCCCCAAUUUUUGUCCAUUUUUUCCCAAUUUUCUCCAUUUCCCCCCAUUUUUAUUAAUUUUUUUUUCCAUUUUUUUGUAAUUUUUUUCCCCAUUUUUUUUUCCAUUUCCCCCAAUUUUUGUCAUUUUUCUUCAUUUUUGAUUCAUUUUCUUCAUUUUUCCCCAAUUUUUCAUCCAUUUCCCCCAUUUUAA